rnacentral:rRNA from 1 species
UUGCAAACCAAAGCUGGCGACCGGCGCACGGGUGAGUAACACGUAUCCAACCUGCCGAUAACUCGGGGAUAGCCUUUCGAAAGAAAGAUUAAUACCCGAUGGUAUAAUAAAACCGCAUGGUUUAAUUAUUAAAGAAUUUCGGUUAUCGAUGGGGAUGCGUUCCAUUAGGCAGUUGGUGAGGUAACGGCUCACCAAACCUUCGAUGGAUAGGGGUUCUGAGAGGAAGGUCCCCCACAUUGGAACUGAGACACGGUCCAA